CUCUAGAGUAGCAGCAUAUGAGAACUAGAAGCAGAAGAACCAGCGCUGCCAUAUUUUUUUUAAUUGAAGAGGAAGGGCUCUCAUCUCCUGGAUUAAACAUAGAACUUUUCACCUAAUUUUGUGAAUGUCAACAUAAAUUUUUGUUUUUUAGGAGUUGGGGACAAACAUUCACAUGGUCACACGUGUGGGAAGGGCUAAAACAGCUGGUCCAGUUCCUUACUGAGUUAGAUGCUAGACAGUAGGUUCACGUCAUUUGAUUGUCCGACCCUUAGAAUUGUAGGCAUCACCACAUUUUGGUGGUAAAUCUACUUCCAAUCCUCCUGGCGUUCCAGACUUAAAAUCUUUUUGGUUUUAUGAUCUAGUGGGCAUUACAUUAUACUCGGUGGAAAAUGCUAUGAGUUUUGAGCGAUUGAGUCUUGCUUCAUCUUACCCCUAACUCUUUUCCUACACUCAUUUUCCACUAUCGAUCUGGACGGCAGAAAUCCAACCGUGGAUAUGUACAGACUAACACCGUAUAUACGCGUCAUCCUAUAAAUAUGGGCUCGCCCUGGUUGCGGAUCCCUCUCGCAUGCCAUCGAAGGGGGAGCUGAGGCAAGGAAUCUUCUUUUAUGCAGACACGUUCUCGCUGCCUCCGCCCCUCCUGUCUUCCGCUGCUUUUUUCGUCCGUCUGGUAAGAUCUUAGGACUUUUAUUGCUUUUCCCCAUAAUAUUCUCUUUCUUUUGAUCGAGGGCCAUGUAGAUCUCAAAUCCCUCUUUCUCUUUCCAUUCUUUUUCCAUUUUUUAGGGUUUUUUUCACUUGGGAUGUCAUUGAUUUUUGAUUUCGUUUGUUUUCUUGCGGUGAAGUCUGGAUCCUGGAAUUUAGGGCAUUUUGUGCUGGAUUUUGCCCUUGUUUAGGGUUUUGUUGGCGGAAUUUAGGGUUUUCAGAAAACAGAGGACCAAUAACAGAUUUUUUUUUUUAAUAGGAAGGAAUGCACUCCCAAAUUCUGGUUGAAGGUAAAUGACUCAAUGGACUACAAGAAGAGGCAAUGGGGAGAGAAUCAGGGGUCUGAGUGUAGUAGGAACAGCUUUAACCUUGUGCCAAAUUUUUCCAUGUUCCAUCAGUGAGCUUCCGUUGCAUAACAUGGACCAAAGGUUGAAGAGAUGCAGCUCUUCAAAUGCCACGGAGGCCAUGGGUGCAUGCUUGUUGAGGAAAAUUCUACCAUUCCUGUCUUUCCAAUAGCUCCAUGUAACAGCUCCAAUGAGCAUUAACACCACCAACCUAUCUGGGAAGUUGCGUCUUAUCCAAUUCAAGGAAAGCCUUGUAUAGGAUCCAUGACAUUGAAGCACCCCAAGCUUGAUGGCAUAUGGGGGUCCUAAUCAGUCCUAACACGCCAUUUCACCUUGCAUUGUUGAUAUGAGUGUCCAAAAAAUUGAGGAUCUUCAACCUCUUAUUUUAUUCUAGACUAACGCAUGACAAAACAAAGCAAGAAUUAAUGCUUUUUCUAUACUUCAAGAAUAUCGGCAAAAUUGCUUAUUGAUCAUCAUAGGAAAAAGAUAAGGCUAGCACAAUUUUGCUAGUCUGCUGGUUAUAAUGUUAAACUAUUUUGAGAGAUAAUACAAUGAAAAAGAAUGAAAAAGAUAUCGAGAGGAAACGAGAGAUGGAGAAAAUGAAAGGAGAUGGGACUAGGAUGAGAAGAAAAGCGAAUAUAUUCAAACUUAAGAAUAUGCACUAUAAAAUUGUUUGGUAACCUCCUUGUUAGGUGAGAUAAAAACUGUAAUUGAUAUUUUUGAAUUGAGCAAAGGGGUAUUACCUCAAACUAUUGAAUUGAAUUAUCCUAUCUAGUAGAUAUUCUAGAAACAGAAUGAGUAACUAUAAUGAGCGUGACUAAAUCCCUUCCCUCACAAAAACCCUUGCAAACAAAUAAUAAUAAAAUAAAUGAGAAAGGUAAGUGGAAUCUGAUAACUGACAAUAACUAGAGUAAGAGGGGUCACCAUUGGAUUGAUUAGGCUCAACUUGAGCAUCCUCUAUUUUUUAUUAAGGCCCUCUUGAAUUGGAUCACAGGAGUCUGUAAAACUUCAGCAAUUUUUUUAAAGAUUUUUAUCAGUGAUGGAAGGAAAUAAAAAAAUGGAUGGGAUGAAGUAAGAGAAGGGAUUGUACUCGGGAUGAGAGAUCGGGAGAAUUGGAUGAUUCAAUCUUUAGAGGAGAGCAAUAGGAGGAGAUCGAGACCGAGCCGAGUUGGGAGAAUGAAAGGGAGGAGAAAGAUGAGACUAUUUAAGAUACUUUUUAUUGGUCCGUCAUUCCAGAAGGUUCCUACGAUUUAUCCCAUCUUUUUCUUGAUUCUAAUACUUGACUCCCUUGGUCAACGUUACGGAUUCCUUCGUCUUGGUUUUCAAAAACAAGGUUUAAAUAAUUAAAUUAUGAUCGAGAAGAGAGAAAAUGAUAUUGAUGAGAUUGCCAAUUUACAUUAUUAGUAGAAAAUAUUUAUGGUUGAAUUAUCAUCUGACCUUGACCUACCCUUCUUUGGUACAUUACUAAAUGCCUACGUCGGAUCCGAUAUCGGCAACUUGAAAGAAAGCCAAAAGAUAUCCUCGGACAAUGAGAAUAGAAGAUUGGACAAUUGGACUAUCCGGACAAAAUGAUUCUUUGAUGUUGGCUAUAACUCGAGCUCACAUGCAUGCCGACCUUGAGGUUGUCGGGACCAUACCGAUGACAAGAGACAAAGUCUAGACCAUUAGGUCGUUAUAGAAAUAAGGGUCAUUCCUAAAAAGUCUUUCAAAAUUUUAGAUGAUUUUUUUUAAUUAUAGGCACGUGAGCUAAUAUCACAUAAUUAAUGCUCGUAAUCCACUACCUCCGAUCCUCACGAUCGUGGGCAUUGAUUCUCCACUUCUGUUAUCGAAUUUGGAGGUAAUAUAUGACUACUCUCUAUACAAAGGGGGAUACAGAAGACUCUCAUGUAAGUUUUUCUUCAAGAGAAUAGGCUCUCUCUCUCAUUUUUCUUUUUUUUCACUGUUUUUAAGCUGCUGCUGACUUAAGCAUUGGAAGAGAUCCUAUCCUUGGACAAAUACUGAACUCCAGGUCGAUAGGAGACUGACUCUAUCUGUCCAUCUUGACCCAGAGACUUGCAGCAACAUAUUAGCAUUAGAGGAAGGGCCUUGUCCAAUUUGAAGAUGAAGGAGAAAGUAAGAAUGUGCGCACAAAAACUCCGCCACCUCACAUCGCUAAACAUCUUGGUGAAGCCAAGGAGGCAUUGCUCGAUCGUCCCUUGUAGUAGGAUCCACAACCUCUGGUAACGGUGGACCCACAAAAAUUUGGCAUCCUGGUCCAAUAGAUCCUGGGAUUAACCUAUGUCGUUUAACAACUUCAAUAGGCGAUGGAGCGGUAGUAGCUCUUGGAGCUCAUUCAUGAAGCGGCUCGGCAUUUCCGGUGAUGCCUUCCCUGAAUCCGAAACUUGACCAUCCGAUUCCGUACGGACGGCCGUGACGAUUUUAUUCGGUGCCCGUAUUAUACGAGAAUUCCGUCCGAGUUCGGGUAUCGUCACCGCCACUUAGCGAUACGUUCUGCGAUCGAAUCCCGAUUUGCGGCUAAAAAUGGGAAGUAGAGCGGGUGAAACGUGGAAAGGAGGCUCCGACCUCGUGGGUUUCUAUUGGGGAGAUUUGGAUCACCAUUUAUAGGCGUCGCAAAGGUCUUUGCAAAGGUCUUUAUUGGCGACUGCCUCGAAACUAACCAGUUUGCCAAGAAGAAAAGUUUGAAUCUUCCAUCCUCAAAAAAAAGUUUGAAUCGUCCUCUUGUUGAUGGUGGGGUAAGCUUCCACAAGCUACUUGAUCCAAUUGAUGUGCUGUUUGUGUGUUUUUUCUUCGAAAUUUCUUGCUUUCUUUGGUGUAUAUGUAUAUCUCUGAACAGGAUUCCGAUACGAAAUCCCUGCCUCAGUUCUUAGUAUUUUGUGAUUUUGCUGCUAAAUUUUCGUUGCUCGUUUAUCUAAAUCAGCUGUUACUACACGAAAGAUCUAUUUUUUUCCCGGUUUCUCUCAUCUUUAUUUUAAUAUCUUCAGUGAAAUCUCCAGAACCUGUUGCAUAGAUCUUGUCAUCACCUUCGGGGUCGUGUUUUUUGGAAGUUUUAUUGUGGUUGGGAUCAAAAGUUCUUCGUUUGCAAUUAGAACCUUUUGUGAAUCCGAGGAAAAACCCCAGCUUUUGAUGCUCAAGUGAAAAGCUGAGAUUUUUUUUUUUUUUUUGAUUUAGCUUCAAAUCUUUACAACAAGUUUUAAACCCAUCUCCAAUAUCACCUAAAAUCCGAGAAAGGGAGAAUGAUUUUCGCUGCCAUGGAUCAAAUGAAAAACCGACACGAGAACUUAUUGUCGGCCGUGGUGCCCCUGAUGAAGCUUUUGUGCCUCACGGUCAUUGGCCUCAUACUUGCCCACCCAAAAACCCAAAUUGUGCCAAGAGCCACCUUCAAGCUCCUCAGCAAGCUUGUCUUUGCUCUCUUCCUUCCCUGCCUCAUCUUCGUCCACCUCGGUGAGUCGGUCACUCUUAAUGAUGUACUGCGCUGGUGGUUUGUGCUGUCAACGUGCUUAUCAGCACAGCCAUAGGCUGCGCUCUUGGUUAUAUUGUUGCAAUCAUAUGCCGGCCGCCGCCCCAAUUCUUCCGGUUUACUGUGAUCAUGACUGGAUUCGGCAACACUGGGAAUCUUCCAAUUGCCAUUGUUGGAUCGGUUUGCCAUAGCUCAGACCACCCGUUUGGACCAGACUGCCAUAGGACGGGCAUCGCCUAUGUCUCUUUUGCCCAAUGGGUUGCAGUGAUUCUUGUUUACACCUUCGUCUAUCACAUGAUAGAGCCACCUAUGCGACAUUAUGAGAUAGUCUCAGCAGAGAACGAAAGAAUGAAAAUCAAAAGUAAGGUACAUAUUUUUUGCCAAUAUUCUUGAAGUAUAGAAAAAGCAUUAAUUCUUGCUUUGUUUUGUUAUGCGUUAGUCUAGAAUAAAAUAAGAGGUUGAAGAUCCUCAAUUUUUUGGACACUCAUAUCAACAAUGCAAGGUGAAAUGGCGUGUUAGGACUGAUUAGGACCCCCAUAUGCCAUCAAGCUUGGGGUGCUUCAAUCUCAUGGAUCCUAUACAAGGCUUUCCUUGAAUUGGAUAAGACACAACUUCCCAGAUAGGUUGGUGGUGUUAAUGCUCAUUGGAGCUGUUACAUGGAGCUAUUGGAAAGACAGGAAUGGUAGAAUUUUCCUCAACAAGCAUGCACCCAUGGCCUCCGUGGCAUUUGAAGAGCUGCAUCUCUUCAACCUUUGGUCCAUGUUAUGCAACGGAAGCUCACUGAUGGAACAUGGAAAAAUUUGGCACAAGGUUAAAGCUGUUCCUACUACACUCAGACCCCUGAUUCUCUCCCCAUUGCCUCUUCUUGUAGUCCAUUGAGUCAUUUACCCUCAACCAGAAUUUGGGAGUGCAUUCCUUCUUAUUAAAAAAAAAAAUCUGUUAUCGGUCCGUAACUGCCUCUGUUUUCUGAAAACCCUAAAUUCCGCCAACAAAACCCUAAACAAGGGCAAAAUCCAGCGCAAAAUGCCCUAAAUUCCAGGAUCUAGACUUCACCGCAAGAAAACAAACGAAAUCAAAAAUCAAUGACAUCCCAAGCAAAAAAAACCCUAAAAAAUGGAAAAAGAAUGGAAAAAGAAAGAGGGAUUUGAGAUCUACAUGGCCCUCGAUCAAAAGAAAGAGAAUAUUACGGGGAAAAGCAAUAAAAGCCCCAAGAUCUUACCAGACGGACGAAAAAAGCAGCGGAAGACAGGAGGGGCGGAGGCAGCGAGAACGCGUUUGCAGAAAAGAAGAUUCCUUGCCCCAGCUCCCCCUUCGAUGGCGUGCGAGAGGGACCGCAACCAGGGCGAGCCCAUAUUUAUAGGGUGAUGCGUAUAUACGGUGUUAGUCUGUACAUAUCCACGGUUGGAUUUCUGCCAUCCAAAUCUAUGGUGGAAAAUGAGUUAGGAAAGGAGUUAGGUGGGAGGGGUAAGAUGAAGCAAGACUCAAUCGCUCAAGACUCAUAGCAUUUUCCACCAAGUAUAAUGUAAUGCCCACUAGAUCAUAUAACCAAAAAGAUUUUAAGUCUGGAACGCCAGGAGGAUUGGAAGCUAUCUUUCUAAAGAAAAACGAGUUGUGGUGAUGACUUUUCACCUAAUUUUGUGAAUGUCAACAUAAAUUUUUGUUUUUUAGGAGUUGGGGACAAACAUUCACAUGGUCACACGUGUGGGAAGGGCUAAAACAGCUGGUCCAGUUCCUUACUGUGUUAGAUGCUAGGCAGUAGGUUCAUGUCAUUUGAUUGAAGGAUGAGACUGAAGUCCUAAUUCGGAGAUGCUACUUUGGUAGAUAUGUUUGGGAGCGGAAGUCGAGUAUCAGAAUCAUAGGAGAGAUGGGACGAAUGGUAGGAACCUUCUGGAAUGGCAGAUCAAUAAAAAGGAAGUAUCUUAAAUACUUUUGUUUUUCUUCUCCCUUUCGUUCCCCCAACUCAGCUUGGUCUCGGUCUUCUCGUGUUGCUUUUGUCUAAAGAUUGAAUCAUCCGGUUCUCUCGAUCUCUCGCCCCAAAUAUGAUGUUUUCUCCUACUUCAUCCUAUUCAUUUUUUUCUUUCAUUCCAUCAUU
rnacentral:lncRNA from 1 species